GUUUCUAAGACUGCAGGGUGGGAGAUGCAACAAUGGCCUUGAGAACAGCAGGAAGUGUGUUGGUGGUCUUUCUCUGGUCUGUAGCAGCUGUACUGGGGCAGAAUGGCUGGAGUGUGACUAACACCACAGUAUUUGUACCUUGAAGGGGUCAUCAGUGGAACUGUCCUGCUCUUACACAUAUCCCAGUUGGUAUAAAGUCACAACAACCUUCUGGUUCACCAAAAUUGUUGCUGUGGAGAAUUAUGUGAGUCUGAGUGAUGACCCAGUAUACAAAGGUCGUGUGACGUACCAUAGAGAUAAGAAGAAUGGCCACACCCUGACAAUCACAGACCUGAGAGAGAGUGACUCCACUACGUACAAGUUCAGAUUUAUUACAGAUCAGACCGAAGGGAUCCUGGAGUCACUUUGUCUGUUACAGACCUGCAGGUGAAGGUGACCACUACAUGGUGGUCAACGACACUGACCUGUAGCACCACCUGUACUCUGACUGACAACCCCAACCCCACCUACAUCUGGUACAGGAACAGUAAGAUUGUACAAGAGGACUCCUCCCUCUCAUACUCAGUCUACUUAAAAACUGAAGACAGCUUCUACUGUGCUGUAAAAGGCAUCAAUUCUCCUGCAGUGUAUGUUGGGGGUCACAGUUAUUUCCACGUGACUUACACCCAUCAGAGUAUCUGUACCUUGAAGGGGUCA